AUUGAACGCUGGCGGCAUGCCUUACACAUGCAAGUCGAACGGUAACAGGUUAAGCUGACGAGUGGCGAACGGGUGAGUAAUAUAUCGGAACGUGCCCAGUCGUGGGGGAUAACUGCUCGAAAGAGCAGCUAAUACCGCAUACGACCUGAGGGUGAAAGCGGGGGAUCGCAAGACCUCGCGCAAUUGGAGCGGCCGAUAUCAGAUUAGGUAGUUGGUGGGGUAAAGGCCCACCAAGCCAACGAUCUGUAGCUGGUCUGAGAGGACGACCAGCCACACUGGGACUGAGACACGGCCCAGACUCCUACGGGAGGCAGCAGUGGGGAAUUUUGGACAAUGGACGCAAGUCUGAUCCAGCCAUGCCGCGUGCGGGAAGAAGGCCUUCGGGUUGUAAACCGCUUUUGUCAGGGAAGAAAAGGCUCUCUCUAAUACAGGGGGCUAAUGACGGUACCUGAAGAAUAAGCACCGGCUAACUACGUGCCAGCCGCCGCCGUAAUAC
rnacentral:rRNA from 1 species